UGCCAUAAAUUCUUUGGAUUCAAAUCACAUUGAAUAGGAAUAUUGAUUAUAUAAGUCAGAACAACAACAAAGAGUGGGAAGAAACUAAAUAAGAGGACAAAUUUGCAACAUUAAACAAUGCAUCCCACAUCGGUAAGCAAGUGAAAGUCUUGGGUGCUGUAUAUAGUUUGCAUCCCUUCCCUUAUAAGCUGACUUUUAAGGUAGAGUUAGAUAAGGACAUAUUAUUUGGUAUCAGAACCUCACUUUGUUUGGCCGAUGGGUCAUGAUCUCAAUUCUUUAUACAAAAACAUAGUCUAGUAUGGUCGAGAAUGAUGCGUCCCACACUAGUUAACAACGGAGUCUUGACCGAUAUAUAUAUCGCUUUGCAACCUUCCCCUUACAAGCUAGCUUUUAAGGUGAAAUUAGACAAGUUCAUAUCAUUUGGUAUCAAAAUCUCACCAUGUUUAGUCGAUGGACCAUGUUCCUGAUUCUCUGUACGAGAACAUACAAUCUAAAAGGGUCGAGAAUGAUAUAUCCCACAUCGGUUAGCAAGGAAAGUUUUGAGUGUUAUACAUAUAUAUAGGUUUGUGACCCUCCCCUUGCAAGCUGCCUUUUCAGAUGGAAUUAAGCAGGUUCAUGUCACUUGUGGCCUUGGUGACCUAAAGCCUUUAAUAUCUAUGCUUGACGUAUAUGAAACUUUCAACUAAAGGGCUAAGGAGGUGAAGUUCAAUAAAUCAUGUAUAAUAGCAAAUACUCCUAUUGGUACCUAAACCAGACUUUAAAACAAUACAGGCAAAAAUUGAAAAUCUUAUUGUAAACUAAAAUCAAGUACUUUUAAACAUCCUUUCAGUCUUUAUUAAUGAUAUGGGAAAAUUUAGAAUAGCCAAGCUAUUGACAGAGAAGAAGAAGAAACAAAUCCUACAAUAUACCUAAGGGUUUGGGUAGAGAAUCAUUAUAACAAAAUUUUUGUACAGGGAUUUCAUAGUUCAAGCCAUUUAAGUUCAAAAAGUCAACAAAGAACCUAACAACCUGAGAAAGACUGAUGCAGUCAGACAAAUGAUUGCACUUCUAAAAAAUUUAUACCUUUAAGAGUUCGAAUUUUCCACAAGACUUUAAACUAGGUUGAGGACAUGACAAGUACGAAACUUUCAACUAAUUGGUUAUGCAGGCGAAAUUCAAGUUCAAUAAAUCAUGUAUGGCAAACCGUCCAAUUGGCACCUCCACCAGUCUUCAAAACAAAGGGGCAAGAAAUUGAAAAUAGAGAAAAUAGAAAAUAUGUAACCGUAAUAAAGUGUUUUCAAUCACAACCCCCUCCCCUCUCUCUUUCUCUUCCCAAAGAAAAAGAAACAAAUGCUACGAUAUAAACAAAAAGUUUGAGCAAAAAAAGUCAAGUAUAAGAACUUUAGCAUUGACAUAUCAUAGUUUAAGCCAUUUAAGUUCGAAAGCUCCCCAAGCUAACAAUGACUACAACAAUAAAGCAGAAACUACUGUCUAACUAGCAGAUGCACUAGACAGUAAAUAUAGCAUGAGCAUCUCCAUCUAAAGUUGCACAUAUUCACAGCUGCACCACUUAAGUUACCUGAUCGACUGAUUAUACAAUGAUGCAAGAAUUCCUGAACCACAGGUGAGUUGAAUCUAAAAUAACUUAAUACUAUCAAUAAGAGGGGUAUGAUGUAUGGUUACUCGAAUCAUAGCGACGUGACCUAGAACGGCUAAUGCUAUCAAAAGUGGACCCAAAAACUCUCCGACCACUAUUAUAAUUGAUGCCAUUGAAUUGUGACCCAUAUCCAUUAUGAUGGUGUGUUACACCAGGGGGAACUGGCACUGAAUCAAAGAACAAAUUUUUUUCAGGAGAAAAAAAACUAAAUAAGUACCUUUAACAUUUUCUUUGUCAUAUAUAAAUAUGAAGAGGAAGGGAAAAGAGUGUGAAAAGACCCGAUACCUUGGGAAUAAUUGGAAGGAGACGCUGAAACCCUGCAUGUUGCAGACAACCUCAUAGAUUGAUUAGAGAUAUCUACAUUGUUCAUUGGCACAGGGUAUGGCCGUGGCCUGUUAGAUGAAUUUGUCGCAGACAUGGAUCCACUGGGAGGAUUUUGAGAUGGUUUGUCUUGCCCAGAAAUCGCAAAUUUCAAAGUCCGAUUGUAGAGAAUCACGAGGCCAGAGAAAAGCUUGACGGCAUAUUCUGCAAUCUCCUCAGUUUCAUAUUCUGCAAAUGCGUAUCCUUUGGGUCUAUCAGUUUCCUUGUCUCGAGGAACGUACAAAUCCACCACCCGCCCAGCUUGGAUUAGAAUAUCAUACAAAACCCUAUCGCUCACCCUCUCAUCCAAAUUACCUACGUAAACGGUGGAACUAGUGUUUCCAGACAUGGUCGUUAAGCUUUGGUUCUGGCUCAGGCGAAACCACAGAAAACCUAGCUCAAAACGGCGUCGCAGAGAACGAUCCUUCCCAGGAAAAAAGAGAGGUACAGAGAAAGAUCGAAGAGAUGGAAAACGUGAUCGAGA
rnacentral:misc_RNA from 1 species